rnacentral:rRNA from 1 species
UAUUUAUUAGAUAAAAAACCAAUGCCCUUCGGGGCUCCUUGGUGAAUCAUAAUAACUUAACGAAUCGCAUGGCCUUGCGCCGGCGAUGGUUCAUUCAAAUUUCUGCCCUAUCAACUUUCGAUGGUAGGAUAGUGGCCUACCAUGGUAUCAACGGGUAACGGGGAAUUAGGGUUCGACUCCGGAGAGGGAGCCUGARAAACGGCUACCACAUCCAAGGAAGGSAGCAGGCGCGCAAAUUACCCAAUCCCGACACGGGGAGGUAGUGACAAUAAAUACUGAUACAGGGCUCUUUUGGGUCUUGUAAUUGGAAUGAGUACAAUUUAAAUCCCUUAACGAGGAACAAUUGGAGGGCAAGUCUGGUGCCAGCAGCCGCGGUAAUUCCAGCUCCAAUAGCGUAUAUUAAAGUUGUUGCAGUUAAAAAGCUCGUAGUUGAACCUUGGGCCUGGCUGGCCGGUCCGCCUCACCGCGUGUACUGGUCCGGCCGGGCCUUUCCUUCUGGGGAACCUCAUGCCCUUCACUGGGCGUGUUGGGGAACCAGGACUUUUACUUUGAAAAAAUUAGAGUGUUCAAAGCAGG